ACUCCUACGGGAGGCAGCAGUGGGGAAUUUUGGACAAUGGGGGCAACCCUGAUCCAGCCAUGCCGCGUGAGUGAAGAAGGCCUCGGUUGUAAGCUCUUUCGGCCGGGAAGAAAUCGCGCAGGCUAAUACCCUGUGUGGAUGACGGUACCGGAAUAAGAAGCACCGGCUAACUACGUGCCAGCAGCCGCGGUAAUACGUAGGGUGCGAGCGUUAAUCGGAAUUACUGGGCGUAAAGCGUGCGCAGGCGGUUUCGUAAGACAGAGGUGAAAUCCCCGGGCUCAACCUGGGAACUGCCUUUGUGACUGCGAGGCUAGAGUACGGCAGAGGGGGUGGAAUUCCACGUGUAGCAGUGAAAUGCGUAGAGAUGUGGAGGAACACCGAUGGCGAAGGCAGCCCCCUGGGCCGAUACUGACGCUCAUGCACGAAAGCGUGGUAGCAAACAGGAUUAGAUACCCCUGGUAGCGACUGA
rnacentral:rRNA from 1 species